GAUCAAUGACAAAAAGAUACUGGAACAUAAAAUCCUUAAACCUCUCCCACGCUUCGUAGAAAGUCUCACCAUCUUGUUGCCUGAAAGUUUGUAUCUCAGCUCUCAGCCU